rnacentral:rRNA from 1 species
UGGGGAAUUUUGGACAAUGGGCGAAAGCCUGAUCCAGCAAUGCCGCGUGUGUGAAGAAGGCCUUCGGGUUGUAAAGCACUUUUGUCCGGAAAGAAAUCCUUGGCUCUAAUACAGUCGGGGGAUGACGGUACCGGAAGAAUAAGCACCGGCUAACUACGUGCCAGCAGCCGCGGUAAUACGUAGGGUGCAAGCGUUAAUCGGAAUUACUGGGCGUAAAGCGUGCGCAGGCGGUUUGCUAAGACCGAUGUGAAAUCCCCGGGCUCAACCUGGGAACUGCAUUGGUGACUGGCAGGCUAGAGUAUGGCAGAGGGGGGUAGAAUUCCACGUNUGAGCAGUGAAAUGCGUAGAGAUGUGGAGGAAUACCGAUGGCGAAGGCAGCCCCCUGGGCCAAAUACUGACGCUCAUGCACGAAAGCGUGGGGAGCAAACAGGAUUNGAUACCCUGGUAGUCCACGCCCUAAAACGAUGUCAACUAGUUGUUGGGGGAUUCACUUCCUUAGUAACGUAGCUAACGCGUGAAGUUGACCGCCUGGGGAGUACGGUCGCAAGAUUAAAACUCAAAGGAAUUGACGGGGUC